ACCCUCUCCUCCCAUCACCGCCCAAGCAUCGUCGACGAUUCUCUAAUACAUCGCUGAUUCUCUAAUACAUCGUGGAUUCUCUAAUACAUCGUCGCCCACAUCGUCGACUCUCCAAACCCCACCAAACCCUAAAGUUAAACCCCGAUUCUUUAAUACCCGAUUCUUUAAUACCCGAUUCUUUAAUACCCCGCCUCCCACUGAUUCACUUUUGUAGAAGACAACGAAUCUAUUUGAAGACAACAAAUCUAUUUACUAUUUGUAGAAGACAGAUUCGCCUCCUUCUUCACGAUUAGCGGAGAAUCUUCUAGAGUAAUAUUCGUGUUAAUCUUGAAGUUGAAUAACUAUAAACCACAAAAGAAUGCACCAUGAUGGGUGUGAUGGGUCUUGGGCUUCAAAAGCGGUUUGCAGAAAUGGCUGGUGUGCUUCCUAUUCGCGAGGAAAGAAAGAAGAGCGACAAGGUUGGAGAAUGGAUGGAUUGAAGCUAGCAUUAUUAAGAGCUAUUUGGAAAUGCCAUUUUGUGUAAAAUUUGGCAUAUUUAUGGAACAUGCAUAAGUAGUUGAUGAUUUUAUUUGCAAAUGUAUUUUGUAAAUUUGUAUUGAAUUUAUGUUGCUGUACUAAGAACUAAUACAAGAAUCAUGAAUGAAUAUAAACUUUUUUUGGUUAUUAUUUA